GACAGUACUCCUACGGGAGGCAGCAGUGGGAAUAUUGCACAAUGGGGGAAACCCUGAUGCAGCCAUGCCGCGUGUGUGAAGAAGGCCUUCGGGUUGUAAAGCACUUUCAGUAGGGAGGAAGGUAGUGUAGUUAACACCUGCAUUAUUUGACUAGUACACAGAAGAAGCACCGGCUAACUCCGUGCCAGCAGCCGCGGUAAUACGGAGGGUGCGAGCGUUAAUCGGAAUUACUGGGCGUAAAGCGCAUGCAGGUGGUUUGUUAAGUCAGAUGUGAAAGCCCGGGGCUCAACCUCGGAAUUGCAUUUGAAACUGGCAGACUAGAGUACUGUAGAGGGGGUAGAAUUUCAGGUGUAGCGGUGAAAUGCGUAGAGAUCUGAAGGAAUACCGGUGGCGAAGGCGGCCCCCUGGACAGAUACUGACACUCAGAUGCGAAAGCGUGGGGAGCAAACAGGAUUAGAUACCCUGGUAG
rnacentral:rRNA from 1 species